rnacentral:lncRNA from 1 species
UUGAGGAGGUUGAUCAGAAGGGAUGGUAGCACUCUUCUAUGAUGCAUCCCUUUUAGCACUUGAUGUUCUUUACAAUGCUGCUCUUUAUAAUUGAUCAAGGAAAACCUGCAAUAGACAAAUAAAAUUAUAGUGUGCUAGAAUUGAGGACCUUGUAGAUUUAUAGAAAUAUAACUGAAAGUUCCAAAACUGAGAGGUACAGGUUACAAGGUGCGAAAGGCCCAACACAUGAAAUGCACUGCAAAGCAUAGAACACAUGGUUAGUGGCAGUAGGAAGCUUUAAAUUGUAGAAUGAACAUAACACAAAUAGAUUACCUAAAAUUAUAAUCAAAACAUACCUAAAAUUAAAUCGUUUAUGAAACAAGAACAAAAAUUCUAUUUAUGACUACAAAACUAACC